GAGCAGGGAGUCUCAAUGCCAAGAGUUAUGUCCAAUUAUGGACAUUGUUUAAUAGGCUGGUUUGAAAUGAUGGUGCCAUCUCCCGUUCUUGAAAAAAAUAACAUUAAAGAAGUUGCUAGGAACAUAUUGUAUAUUUCAAUACUGUGCAAUAAGGUCACAGGCAGAACAUGCAAACUCCA